GGAGAUAUAGCUCAGUUGGUAGAGUACUUGCCUUGCAUGCAUAAGGCCCUGGGUUCAAUCCCCAGCACCA
rnacentral:tRNA from 1 species